AUACCAACGUGAACCUUACUGGGGACUUCUAACCCCCUCUCGCUCGCGGUUCUUGAAAUU
rnacentral:tRNA from 1 species